GUGCUUACUUCUUCAGCACACAUACUAAAACUGUACCAAUACAGAGAUUAGCAUGGCUCUGCACAAGAAUGAUAUGCAAAUUUGAAGUGUUUAUGGCAACCUAU
rnacentral:snRNA from 1 species